GCAAGUAUACAUAUAUGUCUUUCUUUUUCAAAUUGAGGCUCCGACUCAGGCCUUGGUUUCUCACGGAGCUAUGCAGAGGCCGUAGCAACCAGGGAGGUAGAUAUUCAUAGGCCUACAUUGCUUAUCAUAUUUGAUUAUUAUGGAAUAAUUUGAUGUUCGACUCUAAGAGAUCUUCGAUCAAAUUUAUAUUGGAGCAAGCUCUCUUUCUGAUAGCGGAACCCAUUGAUGUGAUCUUGAAACCAUCUGAGAUUUGGGACUCCCACAUUGUUUGUGCAGCACCCC
rnacentral:lncRNA from 1 species